GGGGGAAGUCUUAACAAGGUUUCCGUAGGUGAACCUGCGGAAGGAUCAUUG
rnacentral:rRNA from 1 species